UACCAGCACCCCGAGUGGUCGGGACGUUUUAUUGGGCCUAAAGCAUCCGUAGCCGGUUCUACAAGUCUUCCGUUAAAUCCACCUGCUUAACAGAUGGGCUGCGGAAGAUACUAUAGAGCUAGGAGGCGGGAGAGGCAAGCGGUACUCGAUGGGUAGGGGUAAAAUCCGUUGAUCCAUUGAAGACCACCAGUGGCGAAGGCGGCUCGCUGGACCUGACCUGACGCUGAGGCGCGAAGGCGUGGGGAGCGAACAGG
rnacentral:rRNA from 1 species